UCCCCUGUAGCGUAAUCGGUAGCGCGCCCGAAUGAUACGAAUAAUGCGGGAGGUUGGCGGUUCGAGCCCGCCCGGGGAAG